rnacentral:rRNA from 1 species
UGGGGAAUCUUCCGCAAUGGACGAAAGUCUGACGGAGCAACGCCGCGUGAGUGAAGAAGGUUUUCGGAUCGUAAAACUCUGUCUUUUGGGGCGAACGUGAGUAUGGUGAACAAUCAUAGUCAGUGACGGUACCAAAGGAGGAAGCCACGGCUAACUACGUGCCAGCAGCCGCGGUAAUACGUAGGUGGCAAGCGUUGUCCGGAAUUAUUGGGCGUAAAGAGCGCGUAGGCGGGAUAGUCAGUCUGUUGUAAAGUGCGGGGCUCAACCCCGUGAUGGCAAUGGAAACAGCUAUUCUUGAGUGCAGGAGAGGAAAGUGGAAUUCCCAGUGUAGCGGUGAAAUGCGUAGAUAUUGGGAGGAACACCAGUGGCGAAGGCGACUUUCUGGACUGUGUCUGACGCUGAGGCGCGAAAGCCAGGGGAGCGAACGGGAUUAGAUACCCCGGUAGUCCUGGCCGUAAACGAUGGGUACUAGGUGUGGGAGGUAUCGACCCCUUCCGUGCCGGAGUUAACGCAAUAAGUACCCCGCCUGGGGAGUACGGUCGCAAGACUGAAACUCAAAGGAAUUGAC